CUCUCUUUCCCUCCUCUUCCCCCUCCCGCCGGCUGGGAAGCCCUGGAAAUCCCGUGUCCUCCGCCCUUUUAUCUCUCGUGGGCCGCCGAGCAUGGAGAACAGCGCCGUGUUCUCGUGCGGAAGGGCCGAGCCGCGGGGGGAGGAGCGGCGGCGGCGGCACCGCGUGUGGGCGGCGGGGGACACGCAGCCACGCCGGAGGCCCGGAUUUAAAAACAUGCGCAAGGUGCCCCCGGUGCCCGUCCGAAAUAGCUCCGCUUUCCCCAGGCUUCCGCGCUGUGUGGCGUUCUCGCCUUUCUCGGGGGACGCGGCGGCUCUGCAGGACCCUUCCGUAGCGCCUCUCCCAAGGGGGGUCAGAAAGUUCCCCCCACGCCCCGAGAGAAGGGCCCUUGGGCUUUGUUGUCGAAAGAUAGUUUGAAAAACUGCGGGAAGGAAGAGAGAUCACGGGGAAAGUGAACGUGGACAUACAAUUAGGAAGGCCAUUCUGCAAUCUUCUUUCAGAGCUGAAAAGAAGCUUUGGCAUUCAGGUCUAGCAGAAAAUUCUACUUGAGCAUGUGCAGUUUCUCUAAAUCUGUUUUAACUCCUGUCCAUGCAUUGUCAAAAAAGAAAUACCACUUCUGGCAAUUGGAGACAAUGAGCACAUUCUUCACGCUGUGUCACACAUUCCAUUGGCAUAGCUUGUUUUACGAAGAGGGUCUGAAAUGGAGAAGUGAUGCAGUGGCUUCCCCUGUCUUGCAGGCUUGAUCUUCCUGCAUCAAUGUAUUAUCUCAGGGAGUAAAAGUACUGUACUAUUGAAAACAUCACAGGUAAUGCAAAAGAAAAAAGAGUGAAAUAACUUUUGGAAAGCAGUUUAAUUUGUCCUUGAUUUUUGGCCUACCUUUCAUAUUUUUAAAAAGUUUUAUUUUUGAAUUCUUUGCCCCCUGAUGUUUGAAUGUACCUUCUGCAGCUCUCAUCUGUAUCCCAGCAGUCAUCAUGCCAGUUCCAAAGAUUUGUGGUAAGUAGUGGUCAAGUUCCCAGGAAGGGAACUGGAUCGUCCCCCAGAGAGUGCCAAGCUGUGUCCCUUCAGGUUGCAUGCACAGGAUGAACGCACCCGUAGCUAAGAUGUAAUGGACUGGUCAAGGUGUAACCUGCAGUCCCAAGGAGUGGCCAAACACCAGCCUGGUGAAACAUCAUCCAGAGGCUGUUGAUGUGGUCCUCUGGAACCGGCAGCUGUGCAGCUGCGCUUCUUUCAGGUGUGGCCUGGCUCUGAAAGCGGUUUAGUCACAUUCAUACAAUGUUGCUUUGACAGGUCAGACUUAAAGAUUCCACCUGUAAAACUGGUGAGAGCUACAUACACAGUCUAUAGCAUCUUUGACCUUGUUAAUCUGCAGUUUGGAUAAACAAACCCAGUAUUACUGUCUUAGAUAAAAGUAGUUGUAUGCUAAUUGAGCUUUAGAUCAGAACAACGUUUCCCAAAGCUCCAGAGCUAGGUGACUGACUUUUCAGUCACCUUUAAAAGCACCUUUAAAAGGAGUAAAUCAGCAUUUACUACAGGCCUUGUCUAUGUGCCAGAUUACUUCAUUGUGCAUUCCUGCUUUUUCUUUGAGAUCUGCACACCCUUCCUCCUCUCUAGCCCCCUUCAGAGAGGCAGUUUAUUACUGUAAUCUUGCUAAGACACUUGGAGUUUUUAGGGAUAGAGAUUUUCAUUGCUGUAAAUUUUGAAAUGUGCCUUUCUCAAACAUGGAUUUCAUUAAGCAAUUGAACAGUGUUCUUAAUGCUGUGCAUCACAAUCAUACUCCUCUGAAGCACACCAAAUAAAAUGCAUUGGGGUUUGAGUUACAUAUAUUUAUUUGGGAUGCCUGUAAUCUAUCUGUGCAUUCCACCUCUCACAUACCAUUUAAGGAGUCACAACUUUUGUCAACUUUAUUACAAGAAAUGUGAUACAAUGGUAGGAAAAACAUCUUCUUUUAAUGCCUGAGUAGGCAGGAAUAGCAGUGAUAAUCUUCAAAAGUGAUAUGCCUUCAUACAACUGGUUAGGAGAGUGCAGGAGGCUUUUUUCCCUUGCCGUGACAUCCUCUGCUAGGGUGGGAUUAGCACUCUCAGCCCCUCUGUAGCAGUUUUUUUGGGAGAGCUUCUGGCAGUGGGCAAAGCAUGUUUCAGAGCUAGAAAUAUUUUACUUGUCAGAACAUAAGCUGAGCUCGGUUCAGAUUUUAAAACCUUGAAAGCACAUACUAGAAAAAGAAAAACACCAAAACAAUGAAAUGAAAUUUUAAGAUGCAAAUGAGUGAAUGAAAUGAAGAAAGAAAUUAAAUGGAAUCUGUGGCCAUAGAUAUUGGUCUUAAGGAUGGGUCUUUCAUGAUCAGCUGUUCAGCCUUCUUUAGAUUACUCUUCCAAUUUCCUGUGUGCACCUUCCUGAUUUUUUCCUCUGUUAAGAACAAGCUUGAGGUUGUAGCAACAGAAGGGUUCUAGUGGCCUGUAGUCACUGCUAAGUGCUUAACCAAAUGUUGCUCGUAAAUACAACAGAGCACAUCUAGAUAACCAUCGACAUAAUACAAAAUCUAGUCACACAAUCAAAUAUUAAAAAGUCUUCUAGAAUUUGGUACUAAGGCAAGUGUCAGUAUUUAGAUUUCAUGUAUAUUACUUUUUAUUUUUUCCAUGACCUGUGAUGGAAAAAAAAAGUCUUCCUUCAGUAUUUUCUGCUUUAAACCAUUUGUAACUUGUCUCAGAGGUAUAUUAGGAUACAAAAUGAAUAUGUAAGCAGAAAGUGUCAUAUAUUAUCACUUCUGUCCUCCUUAUUGAUUGUAAACUGCAAGCACGAGACAUUCUCCAUGGAAAUAUGUUGAUUUGUCUCUAGAUGUAGCUGACAGUGAGUCAACAACAUACUCUUUAUGUCAUCCCUUUCUUAAAUCAAUAGGGUGCUUUCUAAAUUUAUAAUGUUCUUUUUUUAGAAGGAACACAGUCCUUCAAACCAAGAAAAAUUAUAUACCACCAUGGUUAAUACUUUAAAGACAGUCUCUGAGCUUCCCUUGAAUGAGUCAUUGUCACAGUCAUAUUUAAGGGACGUUGCUGUAUUUAUAGCAAAUAUACAGCAGAAAUAUUAUUCUGAAAAUAAUAAAUGUUUUCACUUUAUUUUUGCCUGAUUUUGUUAAUCAAAUAUGGAACAAUAUGUAAUGUAAUUUAUAUGAGUUAAAAUUUAACUUGUGGAGCCUCUCUUCUGUAUUUGGCCUGAUAAUACACUGUAGUAUAUUAGUGUAUACAGUGUACACUAGUCCUGUUACUGAUAGUCAGCUGGCCUAUGUACCAUAAUUUUGGAAGCUUUUAAGAUCAACUUGAUUACUAGAUAUCUAAUAGGCUCCAAGCACUCUUAUUUCUUACAUGCAACUUUUAUCUUUAAGUAGGAAAGAUGAGGAAAGCUAUCUGCAUGUUGUUAAAUGUGUCAAAAAAUGCUUCUAGUUCCACUUCUAACACAUUUAAUAUUUUGGCAAAGUGAGAAGGUUAUGUUUAUAUAUAUUUUUUUUCCCCUGAGAGAAUUUAAAUCUCUUAAUCAGUAGGAUUGAGUUGUUAGAGACAUAAACUUAGUCUUCUUUUUGUUGUAUAAAAGCAUCCUUUAUCAACAGACUACCAAAAAGACAAAGAAACAAUUUAUUUUAUAGACACUAAAAAAUAAAUAAUAUUAAUUAAGUUCAUAUUACAUAAUAUUCUCCAGUUUAAGUAAUUUUUGUGAGAUGUGGACAAAUAAUGCAUUAUAUCCAACAGGCUUACCAAAAGAUUUGUGCUUGAGAUGCAGCAUGCAGAUUGCUCUUGAAAAGUCCUCUAACAGAACAUAAUCUUCUCUUUUUACCAUGUCCAAACUCCUGAUGCUUUCAAGAAAAAAAAUACAAUUGCUAUUUUUCUCCAAAUUGGCAGAGGUUUAGCACCUUUUUUUUUUUUUUUUUUUUGCUUCUUUUUGCCUUUUUGGAUGAUGCAGUUGGCUAUUAUUAAGUCUUUAAUAUAUGUGCAGAUGGCAAGGGCACUAGAAGUGAAACUUCAUAACUGUGUCUGAGGAGCACAUUAUUUAGUAAGUAAGAUGAAACGUCAUUGUUAGGAGAGCUGCAAAGGAUCUCUAGAGCAGAUCUAUUCUCAACCAAUUAAUUAGAGUGCUUACUUAGAGUCCCUCAUCUGCAGUUGUACACCACAUGCUUAGGUAUAUAGUAAAAGGAAUUAAAUGGCCUGAGUAUUCUCCCAUUUUAUCCCCUGGCUCUUGGAGCAAUUGUGAGAAAGGUAAAAUUUUUGAGAUGUUAGCUAGGUAAGAUACCGUCACUGAAAUCAGUUAAUUGACAAUGGCUAUGGGGAGCAAUAUGCAUUUCUCUUUUUGGCUACAUGAGUCUCUCUUUGGCCAUUUCUCCAGCUGUUUUCCCUAGCACUAAGGGCAAGAUAUUUUCUGCCUUCAGCUGUUCUCAUACAAACCCAUAGAGAUUGAAGCACAGCUAGACCCUUUGUUGUGGGCAGUGGUAGCUUCAUACAAAAUUUAUUAAAGAAGCCCUCCUGUUGAGUCACAGGGUUCUGAGGGUGCAGAAAGGACCCCUUUGCUCUCUAAACUCCUUCUUAGAGAGGAGCCUGGGUGUGGCUGGAUCCAAUCUUAGCCCCAGACUUUGUCAACAGUUUAUGUCUAAAGGAGUAUAUAUGUGUAAUUGAACUUUGUCCUGCAAGAUUAAGGUUGGAAGAACAGAUAUAUUUAUAUAAAUAUAUAUGAUUUAUUAUGAUCAUGAUUAGACAAAAAGAUCUUAAUCAGAUUUACUACACAGUAUAGGAGCUGUAACAACUAUUAUAAUAUAGUGCAUUAUAAAAAUGUUGAAGCAAUUGCAUUAAAGUAGUUGUAUUAAAACUAGCAGAAACAAUUACUAAGUAGGGAUUGAUGUUACUCACCCAUACCGAUGACUGUGGGCAAGUCUCUUUUGCUCAGCCUGGAGGAGUAACCUUGAGGGACAUCUCCACUCACGAGAGGAAUCUCCACACAUACACUCCAAGAGGGGAUGUGUUAGAACACCCUGCCAUUAAAAUUUGGGACUGGGUUUUUAUAGUAUAGAGUGACUGUCAGUCUUAUGUCUCCAGGCCAGCUGUGCCAGUUCAGCAGCUUUAGAUAAGUUGUUGGUAGUAUCACUUGUUUAUUCCUUUAUCUGGGUACUUUACCAGUCCUACCACAUCUUCAUCUCACUGUCAGGGUGCUUAAUUUUGGGAUUGAUGAGUCAGACUGCUUUCAGCUUUAUUCAACACCAGAAGCAGUGUGAUGCCCCUUCUUCAUUUACCACUGGUAGCUUUGUGAAUAGGGCAUUGUUCAAGCUGUUUUACCCCAUUCCAGGCAAAGCAUCCUGCAAGUGCAUGUGCAUGUUGGAGGAAGAGUUGCUAGCACAUUUUGAAAAGGUUCUUAAAAGCAAGAGUGGCUAAAGAAAGAGUGAGAAAAGAAUGCAAGAUACUGAAGGCAAAUCUUGUAACUGAGUGUGCUCACAGUGAGUGGUAGAUUUGAGCUGCUCCAUGCAGAGCUGUUGGCAUGAUAUGCUGAAUGCUUUCAGGGGCCUCACUUCGAAGAGAGUCCCUUUUGACAGGAACAGUGGCCACUGAGUAUCAGCCAGCAGCAAGAGAAGAACUCCAAGGCUAAAGGUGAACCGAGAGCUGAGAGCAGCCACAGCAGAGGAUGAGUAGUGUUCUCAUUGCCAGGGCACAGUCUGAUCACACCUGGGCUGGAGAAGUAAAGGAAAGCAGUAAUAGUGACGGAGUUUAUGGAGAAAUCAUAGAGCAAAAGCAAGGCAACAAGCCAGAACAACCAUGUGGGGAUGGGGAUGGUAGGUAACACCUAUAGGAUAGAGCAGCCUGAGGAUAAAUCAAUCUUCUCAGGCCAUGGGUCAGGGCUUGUGAGUGUACUCUCAUCAGGACCAUUACAGCCUCUUGGUGCACUAGACCGUGAUGUUGAGCUUUUCAACUAAUCAAGCCCAAAUGGAGCUCUUAAAUGACAUAACUUGGCAGGCCAAAAUUUGCAGUGAAUACAUAAUUACAGGGUGUAAUAACCAGAUCAAGAUUGUACUGAUUUGUCAUGUUCAAGGUAUGCCAAGUUAAAAAGCUUCUGGUAGCUUCACCAGCCUUAGGUAGGCAUUUGGUCUCUUGUAAAAAUUAUGUCUUACUGUUGUGAUAAGAAAUAGAUUUGUGAUGUCUCUCAUUUUUUUAAUUUGGCCUAAUGCAUAUAUCUUCAUAUGCAAGACAAGGAUGAGUAAGUUUGUGCUAAGUCUUGAGCAAAUGCUGAAGGCCAAUGUUUUCCCCUUAGUGUAUACUGGUAAUAGUGGAAGAUCUUGUUAAAGCCAACUCGUUCUUGCAUGCAACUACAGGACUGAACAUUCUGUACUGCAUGAGUGAUGCUGAUGCAUGCUGAUCUGCAUGAGUGCCUAAAUCUCCACCCUUUAAAUCAUGUGAAAGAUUGUAUCACGGUGAGACACUGGAAGAAGUUGCCUGGAGAAGCUGUGGAUGCCCUGAACUGUUCGGGGCCAUGGUGGAUGGGGCACUGAGUAACCUGAUCUAGUGGGAAGUGUGCCUGCCCAUGCCAGGGAAGUUGGACUAAGUGAUCUCUAAGUUCCCUUCCAACCCAAACCAUUACAUGGUUCUAUGUUUGUUUCAUCUUGUUUCUUGGCAAUUCUCAAUUUUCUACUAACCUAAAGAAAUAAAAAAGCUAAAUAAUCAACUAUUUGGCAAUAAAAAACUAUAAAUCUUCAUAGGGGUUAUAUGCCUUUAACUGUAUUACCCAAUCUAUUUUUUCCAUACAAUUACAUGAAAAUAAUAAAAAAAGUAUUGAAAAAACACGAGACAGUGUGAAAAUUACUCUGCUAAAGUCUGUGUUUUCUCAAGUAAAAUAACAGCCUGAAAUCAACAGGGCAACACACAAGUGUGAGGGUAUACCUUACAUAGCCUUCCUUCUUGAGUGUGUGUUGAGCCUUUCAGUGUCUUGAAAAUCUUCAGGGGACCCCAUAUGAGAAAAGUAUAAAUGUUUUCUGCUAACAGGAUACUGUAUAUUGUAAUAGUGGCAGAAUCUGGUCCUGGAACAAUUAAAAUCUCAGUGUAUUAAAGAAAAAGAACACAAUUCUUUGUUUUACAUGCUAAGUUUGCCUCUGAAUGACUUGAUAGCCUGCUACUGAAGCAGAUAAAAAGACUGUGGUAAUACAAACCUCAUUUUCUUCCCCCAAGGUAUGAAUUGUAUGUAACUGAUGUGCUUUUUUGCAAUUUCUAGAGUAUAAUUAAUUGGAAUCUGCAUACAUGAAAAUGUUUUACAGUGUAUAGGUAGCAACAUGUUAUUGUUAGAGAAUGCUCACUAAUUAUCCCUGUUGGACCUCCUGUUUUUAAAGUCUGUAUCUAGGUAAUUUUUGGGUGCUUCAGUGCUUCACAUAACUAUUUCCUAUUGAAAAAGUAGAACUCAAAGCAUACUCUAGAUCACAGGUAAAUGUAGCAGUGGCAGGUAAACAUGCUUUUUUAGAUUGGGCCAGCAUCGACUUAGGUCAAUGAAGAAAGAUUAUACUCAAGUCUCACUUUGGCUUCUAAGUAGUUCUCAUUGCAGAACUUUGCUGAUUUGACGCUUCUGUUCUCUGAAAAGAAGGUUGAUGCUGUAGAAUAGAAAAUGAAGCUCAAGAACUUUUCUUUCUGUGAAAAAGUGUAGAAUGGAACAGGCUGCCCAGAGAGGUUGUGGAGUCUCCUUCUCUGGAGAUACUUUAAAGCUGUCUGGACACAAGCCUAAGUAACAUGCUUUAGAGGGCCCUGCUUGAGCAGGGCGGUUGAACUAAAUGACCUCCAGUGGUCCCUUCCAACCUCAUGCAUUUGGUGAAAAUAAUUGGUGCUUUUUCUUGUUGUGUUUUGUUUCACCUGAAUAAAACUACUUGUAUUUUUGGAAUUUAAUA